rnacentral:tRNA from 1 species
CAGAUAGCUCAGUUGGUAGAGCAGAGGAUUGAAAAUCCUCGUGUCGGUGGUUCGAUUCCACCUCUGGG